AGGCAAGCUCCAGGUGGAAGAACAGAAUUCCCAAGAAUACAAAGUGAAACAAACUACAAUGUCCAUUGUGGAUUCCAAGGUUUCCAAGAACAGAUUUGAUAGGUAGUUUUUGGAGAUGCUUGAAAUAAGAGAUGCUUGAGCCAGACUUCUAGUUCACAAUGGCCUCAACAUGGCAAUGCAAGAGGAUGAAAAAACAGGCAGAAAUUCAGCAGAGUUGAGGA